GUCUACGGCCAUGCCACUCUGAACAAGCCGGAUCCCACCUAAUCUCGGAAGCUAAGCAGGGUUGGGCCUGGUUAGUACUUGGAUGAGAGACCACCUAGGAAGACCAAGUGCUGUAGGCA
rnacentral:rRNA from 1 species